rnacentral:tRNA from 1 species
AGCCCGAUAGUCUAGCGGUCAAGGAUUCCGCCCUCUGGAGGCGGAGGCGGCAGUUCGAAUCUGCCUCGGGCUA